rnacentral:tRNA from 1 species
GCGGAUGUGGUGAAAUUGGUAAACACACCUGAUUUAGGCUCAGGCGGCGAAAGCUUUAGGGGUUCGAGUCCCCUCCUCCGCACCA